AACGAACGCUGGCGGCAUGCCUAACACAUGCAAGUCGAACGACACCUUCGGGUAUCGUGGCGCUUGGGUGCGUAACGCGUGGGAAGCUGCCCUUAUGUUCGGAAUAACUCCCCGAAGGGGGUGCUAAUACCGGAUAAUGUCCUCGGACCAAAGAUUUAACGCCUUUGUAUGGGCGCGCGUUGGAUUCGCCAGUUGGUAGGGUAAAAGCCUACCAAGGCGACGAUACAUAGCUGGUCUGAGAGGAAGGUCAGCCACACUGGGGCUGGGACACGGCCCAGACUCUUACAGGAGGGAGCAGUGGGGAAUAUUGGAAAAUGGGGGAAAGGAAGAUGGAGCAAGGCCGGGAGAGUAAUGAAGGCCGUAAGGAAGUAAAGCUGUUUUACCCGGGAUGAUAAUGACAGUACCGGAAGAAUAAGCACCGGCUAACUCCGUG
rnacentral:rRNA from 1 species